AACGAACGCUGGCGGCAGGCUUAACACAUGCAAGUCGAGCGCCCCGCAAGGGGAGCGGCAGACGGGUGAGUAACGCGUGGGAAUCUACCCAUCUCUACGGAAUAACGCAUGGAAACGUGUGCUAAUACUGUAUACGUCCUUCGGGAGAAAGAUUUAUCGGAGAUGGAUGAGCCCGCGUUGGAUUAGCUAGUUGGUGGGGUAAAGGCCUACCAGGGCGACGAUCCAUAGCUGGUCUGAGCGGAUGAUCAGCCUCACUGGGACUGAGACACGGCCCAGAGUCCUACGGGAGGCAGCCGUGGGGAAGAUUGGACAAUGGGCGCAAGCCUGAUCCAGCCAUGCCGCGUGAGUGAUGAAGGCCCUAGGGUUGUAAAGCUCUUUCACCGGUGAAGAUAAUGACGGUAACCGGAGAAGAAGCCCCGGCUAACUUCGUGCCAGCCGCCGCCGUAAUAC
rnacentral:rRNA from 1 species